rnacentral:lncRNA from 1 species
AUAUUUUGUUUGUGUAUAAUUUGCUUGUUUGUUUGGUCUUUGGCCAUUAAUGUACAUAAUAAUUACAAAAAACCCUAAAAAACUUUUGAGUGGACUAUUGGCUUCAUCUUAGACAAAUGGACUUAGAAUCUAGGCAACCAUCCUAUGCUAGUGGAUUUGGCCAAUGCCAACUUAUUGAAGAACCAAGUGCUUGCAAAUUUG